GACUAACCCACCGGAGGACUCCAUGUGCACUAGCAUUUUUGUCUUCUUCCUCGGGUGCUUUGGUUUGCUCGCAACGACUCAAGAAGCUUCAGGAGACGAGGAGGGAGGUGCCCGUGUGGAGGAAGGCUGAGACCGAGGCACCUACCCAAUGAAUAUCCCCUUCAUGCCUUUCAGAUUCAUGCCUGCCGACACAACACGAACAUUCAAGUUAGCAAUGAUACUCAAAACAAUAAAAAAAA
rnacentral:lncRNA from 1 species